AGUAUCUAUCCCAAAGACCAGGGAGAAAGGAAGGAAAGAUUCUGGUUCUGUCCUCUUCCCCAAGGCAAGGCUGGCUGCCCUACCAACAGAGGCAAAGAGAAGAGUGUGCAAGGCUGGCUGCCCUCCCAACAGAGGCAAAGAGGAGUGUGUGUUGAAAUAUCCAUUGAAUCCCUGAGACAACUGGAUCCUGGCCCAUUGAAUCAUAAACUCACUUCGACAAUUCUGUGGAGAUAAACUUUCAGUAGACGUGGAGCAGAUUAUCACAGUUGAAUUGUGCUGAGAGAAGAGCUGAAAUGACUAAGCUCACAGGAAAACUACCAAAGGGCGUUACUGAAUGUCCAGUUUACAGUCUCCAAAGGGGAGCUGCCUCUGCUGGUGGUGAUGCAUGGAACAUGGCUUUAUUGUGUGAACCUUGGAAAUGGACACCAGAGAGUCCUGGACUUGUAGUCGGUGUAGCAGAAGUUGAUCUGGGGCCGAGGUCUUAAGAUUUCUGAGGCUCAAGACAUGAGUAAUAGAUUGCUAGUCUUUCCAUGGAUGAGAACCGGCAAAAUCUCUAAGUGAGAAAUCACAUCAUCUAUAGUUCAAAGCAGAGUUCCUAUUCCAAUGAGAAAGAAUACUCAUCAGAAGGUCAAGGCAUGCAACCAACCAAUCCAUACGAUGUGUUCCAAUAUGCUCAACUCUGCUCUCAAUGUUUUGCAGCAUGUCAGAAUGUAAACUUAACAGCAACCUCUGAGGUGUUAAAUACAGACAAGUCAAAGUAGAUUAAAUCUAUUUCAACAUAAAGAUUUGAACAUGGCACUCUGCCCCGGAAAUGCAUGUGACCCCCUCAAUAUGCUGCCUUUGCUGCACAACUGUCUUUUUGUACUCUUGUAAUGUUGAUGGCUUGUGCAUCAUCAAAACCAAACAAACGUCUGUUGGACUGACAGACGAUUAAGAGUCAAUGUCUGAGUGGAGGAUAAAUGUGAGAAACUCCACUAGGAGGAGACAACCUUUCCUCCAUCAAAAAGACAGCGCUAAGAAUCCUUACCAUUGUAAUCUGGUCCAUAGAGAGAGCAGCAUCCUUUCCCUAACGAUUACCCAUUUCCUAUUAGCAAAUGACUCCUGUGAUGCUUCCCCAGCUAAAAUAGGACCCAAAUUGGCUAAGUACCAUAGACAAUAUGUGCAAUUCUGUUUUUAAAAAUCACCAGAAGUAAAAGGGUCCAUUCAAAUAAAUGGAACAAGAAUGUCCUGAGCCAAA
rnacentral:lncRNA from 1 species